GAUGAAGAACGCAGCGAAAUGCGAUAAGUAGUGUGAAUUGCAGAAUUCAGUGAAUCAUCGAAUCUUUGAACGCACAUUGCGCCCCUUGGUAUUCCGUGGGGCAUGCCUGUUCGAGCGUCAUUUGUACCUUCAAGCUUUGCUUGGUGUUGGGUGUUUGUCUCGCCUUUGCGUGUAGACUCGCCUUAAAAUAAUUGGCAGCCGGCGUAUUGAUUUCGGAGCGCAGUACAUCUCGCGCUUUGCACUCAUAACGACAGCGUCCAAAAGUACAUUUUACACUCAUGACCUCGGAUCAGGUAGGGAUACCCGCUGAACUUAAGCAUAUCAAUAAGCGGAGGA
rnacentral:misc_RNA from 1 species